AUACGGAGGAUCCGAGCGUUAUCCGGAUUUAUUGGGUUUAAAGGGAGCGUAGGUGGAUUGUUAAGUCAGUUGUGAAAGUUUGCGGCUCAACCGUAAAAUUGCAGUUGAAACUGGCAGUCUUGAGUACAGUAGAGGUGGGCGGAAUUCGUGGUGUAGCGGUGAAAUGCUUAGAUAUCACGAAGAACUCCGAUUGCGAAGGCAGCUCACUAGACUGCAACUGACACUGAUGCUCGAAAGUGUGGGUAUCAAACGGGAUUAGAUACCCUGGUAGUCCGCACAGUAAAUGAUGAAUACUCGCUGUUUGCGAUACACGGUAAGCGGCCAAGCGAAAGCGUUAAGUAUUCCACCUGGGGAGUACGCCGGCAACGGUGAAACUCAAAGGAAUUGACGGGG
rnacentral:rRNA from 1 species